GACGAACGCUGGCGGCGUGCUUAACACAUGCAAGUCGAACGGAAAGGCCCUGCUUUUGUGGGUUGCUCGAGUGGCGAACGGGUGAGUAACACUUGAGUAACCUGCCCUUGACUUUGGGAUAACUUCAGGAAACUGGGGCUAAUACCGGAUAGGAGCUCCUGCUGCAUGGUGGGGGUUGGAAAGUUUCGGCGGUUGGGGAUGGACUCGCGGCUUAUCAGCUUGUUGGUGGGGUAGUGGCUUACCAAGGCUUUGACGGGUAGCCGGCCUGAGAGGGUGACCGGCCACAUUGGGACUGAGAUACGGCCCAGACUCAUACGGGAGGCAGCAGUGGGGAAUAUUGCACAAUGGGCGGAAGACUGAUGCAGCAACGCCGCGUGCGGGAUGACGGCCUUCGGGUUGUAAACCGCUUUCGCCUGUGACGAAGAGUGAGUGACGGUAAUGGGUAAAGAAGCACCGGCUAACUACGUG
rnacentral:rRNA from 1 species